AACGAACGCUGGCGGCAUGCCUAACACAUGCAAGUCGAACGAGACCUUCGGGUCUAGUGGCGCACGGGUGCGUAACGCGUGGGAACCUGCCCUUAGGUUCGGAAUAACUCCCCGAAAGGGGUGCUAAUACCGGAUGAUGUCUUCGGACCAAAGAUUUAUCGCCUUUGGAUGGGCCCGCGUUGGAUUAGCUAGUUGGUAGGGUAAAAGCCUACCAAGGCGACGAUCCAUAGCUGGUCUGAGAGGAUGAUCAGCCACACUGGGACUGAGACACGGCCCAGACUCCUACGGGAGGCAGCAGUGGGGAAUAUUGGACAAUGGGCGAAAGCCUGAUCCAGCAAUGCCGCGUGAGUGAUGAAGGCCUUAGGGUUGUAAAGCUCUUUUACCCGGGAUGACAAUGACAGUACCGGGAGAAUAAGCUCCGGCUAACUCCGUG
rnacentral:rRNA from 1 species